GAACGCCGUAGCAAUACGGAGUGGCAGACGGGUGAGUAACGCGUGGGAACAUGCCCUUCGGUUCGGAAUAACUCAGGGAAACUUGAGCUAAUACCGGAUACGUCCAAGGCUUGCCUUGGAGAAAGAUCUAUCGCCGGAGGAUUGGCCCGCGUCUGAUUAGCUAGUUGGUGGGGUAAUGGCUCACCAAGGCGACGAUCAGUAGCUGGUCUGAGAGGAUGAUCAGCCACAUUGGGACUGAGACACGGCCCAAACUCCUACGGGAGGCAGCAGUGGGGAAUAUUGGACAAUGGGCGCAAGCCUGAUCCAGCCAUGCCGCGUGAGUGAUGAAGGCCUUAGGGUUGUAAAGCUCUUUCGCCCGCGACGAUGAUGACGGUAGCGGGAGAAGAAGCCCCGGCUAACUUCGUG
rnacentral:rRNA from 1 species